rnacentral:rRNA from 1 species
GAAUAAGCAUCGGCUAACUCUGUGCCAGCAGCCGCGGUAAUACAGAGGAUGCAAGCGUUAUCCGGAAUGAUUGGGCGUAAAGAGUCCGUAGGUGGUCAUGUAAGUCUGUGGUUAAAGAGUGGAGCUCAACUCCAUAAGGGCCAUAGAAACUACAAGACUAGAGUAAGGUAGGGGUAGAGGGAAUUCUCGGUGUAGCGGUGAAAUGCGUAGAUAUCGGGAAGAACACNNNNNNCGAAGGCGCUCUACUGGACCUUAACUGACACUGAGGGACGAAAGCUAGGGGAGCGAAAGGGAUUAGAUACCCCUGUAGUCCUAGCCGUAAACGAUGGAUACUAGUUGUUAUGGGUAUCGACCCCGAUAGUGACGAAGCUAACGCGUUAAGUAUCCCGCCUGGGGAGUACGCACGCAAGUGUGAAACUCAAAGGAAUUGACGGGGGCCCGCACAAGCGGUGGAGUAUGUGGUUUAAUUCGAUGCAACGCGAAGAACCUUACCAAGGCUUGACAUCCUACGAAGGUCGGCGAAAGUUGACUGUGCCUUAGGGAACGUAGAGACAGGNGGUGCAUGGCUGUCGUCAGCUCGUGUCGUGAGAUGUUGGGUUAAGUCCCGCAACGAGCGCAACCCUCGUCCUUAGUUGCCAGCAUUAAGUUGGGCACUUUAGGGAGACUGCCGGUGACAAACCGGAGGAAGGUGGGGAUGACGUCAAGUCAGCAUGCCCCUUAUGUCUUGGGCUACACAC